GAAGCUGGCCUGUCUCCCAGCCCAGUUUCCCUCCCUGAGCUUUAGGACGCGUCCCACCCGGGGCUUGGAAGCCCACAACCCUGCGGCAGCGAAAAGCAAAGGGCGGGAGGAGAGCUACAAAGGAGGACGGUGGCCGCAGCCAGAGCCAGCCCCCAGCCGUGGGUAACCUUGGAGGCGCCCUCGAGCGAGCUCAUUUUCACUGAUGAUCCAGAGAAGAGUGUAAGUUAAAAUCUUAGAACUGAAAACACUGAACAUGUCCUAAUUCUGCCUGAUUUUAUUGAAAGACCUUGUAGCAUAAUCUAAGGUCAGCAAAUGAAGUUUUUGGCUACCAACAUAAAAGAAUUUUAAAAAUCAGUUCCCUGUAGGGAAAAUAACGUUUCAAAAUAAAAGGAUGAAAAUAGCACGCAUUUUUUUUAAAGCAGAAAAUAUUAUA
ensembl:processed_transcript